rnacentral:rRNA from 1 species
UACGAAGGGGGCUAGCGUUGCUCGGAAUCACUGGGCGUAAAGCGCACGUAGGCGGAUUGCUAAGUCAGGGGUGAAAUCCUGGAGCUCAACUCCAGAACUGCCCUUGAUACUGGCGGUCUCGAGUCCGGGAGAGGUGAGUGGAACUGCGAGUGUAGAGGUGAAAUUCGUAGAUAUUCGCAAGAACACCAGUGGCGAAGGCGGCUCACUGGCCCGGUACUGACGCUGAGGUGCGAAAGCCAGGGGAGCAAACGGG